AGAGUUUGAUCAUGGCUCAGAACGAACGCUGGCGGCAGGCUUAACACAUGCAAGUCGAGCGCCCAGCAAUGGGAGCGGCGCACGGGUGAGUAACACGUGGGAACAUGCCCUAUGGUUCGGAAUAACGCAGGGAAACUUGCGCUAAUACCGGAUAAGCCCUUACGGGGAAAGAUUUAUCGCCAUUGGAGUGGCCCGCGUUGGAUUAGCUAGUUGGUGGGGUAAAAGCCUACCAAGGCAACGAUCCAUAGCUGGUUUGAGAGAACGACCAGCCACACUGGGACUGAGACACGGCCCAGACUCCUACGGGAGGCAGCAGUGGGGAAUCUUGGACAAUGGGGGAAACCCUGAUCCAGCCAUGCCGCGUGAGUGAUGAAGGCCCUAGGGUUGUAAAACUCUUUCGGCGGGGACGAUAAUGACGGUACCCGCAGAAGAAGCUCCGGCUAACUUCGUGCCAGCAGCCGCGGUAAUACGAAGGGGGCUAGCGUUGUUCGGAAUUACUGGGCGUAAAGCGCGCGCAGGCGGUCCUUUAAGUCGGGGGUGAAAGCCCAGAGCUCAACUCUGGAACUGCCUUCGAAACUAGAGGACUUGGGUACGGGAGAGGUGAGUGGAAUUCCGAGUGUAGAGGUGAAAUUCGUAGAUAUUCGGAAGAACACCAGUGGCGAAGGCGGCUCACUGGCCCGUUACCGACGCUCAGGCGCGACAGCGUGGGGAGCAAACAGGAUUAGAUACCCUAGUAGUCC
rnacentral:rRNA from 1 species